AGAUCUGGCCUGUAGGACCUGUUCUUGGCACUGUCUGCGUUCAUUGAGGCGUAACUCAUGGGCUUCUAAUGAAUGCAGUAGUUCCUUAGUAUCAAUAUUCUCCUUCUUUCGAGUUUCUUCAGUGGCAGCCACCACAUAGUCAAAUCUAGGGGUUAGAGUCCUCAGAAUUUUGUCUACAAUAUACUCAUCUGUCAUCUUAUCACCACAAGCCCUCAUUUUGUUCACUAAUUCCUGCACCUUAUCAAAGUACUCAGCCACGGUUUCACUCUCCUCCAUGAUCAGAGUCUCGAAUUUCCU
rnacentral:lncRNA from 1 species